UACGUAGGGUGCGAACGUUGUCCGGAAUUAUUGGGCGUAAAGAGCUCGUAGGCGGUUUGUCGCGUCUGCCGUGAAAGUCCGGGGCUCAACUCCGGAUCUGCGGUGGGUACGGGCAGACUAGAGUGAUGUAGGGGAGACUGGAAUUCCUGGUGUAGCGGUGAAAUGCGCAGAUAUCAGGAGGAACACCGAUGGCGAAGGCAGGUCUCUGGGCAUUAACUGACGCUGAGGAGCGAAAAGCAUGGGGAGCGAACAGG
rnacentral:rRNA from 1 species